rnacentral:rRNA from 1 species
ACACACCGCCCGUCAAGCCAUGGGAGCCGGGGGUGCUUGAAGUGCGUCGCCGCAAGGCGCGCCCUAGAGCAAAACCGGUGACUGGGGCUAAGUCGUAACAAGGUAGC